AUCUUUUCUUGAGAAAGAUGAAUAUUUUCUUACUCCUUGGAGUUGGAAUUCCAAUUCUUCUUCAAGUUCUUUAAACCAACAAGGAAGAAAAAGCCACCAUCAAUUUCAACCUGGAUCGUUUUUCGUUAGAGAGUAUCCAGAGUAUUUUGGGAGUCAUAAUUAUUAUCCGGUACCUAAUCAAUCUGAUUCGAAAAAGCCUAAUCCAUCUGAUUCGAAAAAGCCUAAUCCAUAAGGUUUGUUGACUGCGUUGACUAAAAGAGGUCUUAAUAGCGUGACAGUGAGAGAGCAAGGAAUGAAACAUGGAGAGAGUAAUUAAUUCUGAUAAUUCUUUAUAGUUAGUAUUGGAGGUAGUUUAGUUUAAUUUAUUCUUGUUUGUUGUAACUUGGAAUUAAAUAUGGGUCUGGAUUCUGAUUUUUCUGCAACGUUUGGAAUAUUUUAGUAAAAUAUUUGAGUUAAUACUCAAAAUGACCCCUGAAAUUUGACCUCCAACUUAAUUUAGUCCUUGAAUUAUCAAUUGACUCAAAUUGUACCCUGAAAUUUUAAGACGUGACUCAAGUUAGCCCUUCCGUCUAUUUCCGUUACCGGAAAGCUGACAUGGCAUAUGUAAUUGACACUUGGUAGCCUCAACAGUUGUCUGACGUGACAAAAUUCUUGUAUGCAUCAAUUUAGCCCCCAAUAAUUUAAAAAAAAAAUUCCUGCAUAAGUCUUCUUAUCAGGCUUCACCUCUUCCUUUAUAAACCUUGUACAAUUCAACUUCACCUCCUCCACUAUGCCUCAGAUCCCUCCUAACUCUCGUGUCACCACCAUCAUCUUCUUCACCAUAACCACCAUUUUCUUCUUCACACCCAUCUCUUCUCCGCCUCUCAUAUCUAUCCUUAUCCUUAUUCCUACCCCUAUCGUUCUCUCUAUCCCUUCCCCUUCUCCUAGAAUCCCCUUUUUCAUCAUCAUAAUCAUCAUUAUCUCUAUCUCUAUCUCUAUUCCUAUCUCUAUGUCUUUCAUCUCUAUCAUAUUUAUCAUACCUGUCUCUUCUAUCUCUUCUAUCCUUUCUAUCUCUGUCUCUUUCUCUGUGCCCAUCUUCACCGUGUAUUUUUCUGUCUCUAUCACCACCAUGUUUCUCUUUGGCUUCAGCUUCAAACUCCUUCUGCAGCUCCUUAACUCUAUCCCUAUCAUCAGCAAUAGCCAAUGCCUUGAACUUCCCCUUCGAACCACCACCGUCCUACUUCGAACCCUUGACGUCACUGUUCCCAAAACCCUUCUUCGGAGGGAGAAUAGCGUGGAUUAUCGUGAGCAGUGUACGGACAAAUUGAGAAGCUUGUGGAGUUCUCCACCGCCAGGCUCUAAUGAAGAACCGAAGCACGAAUGACGAAUUGGGAAUUAGCGUGGAUUCGUGGAGUUACCUGAGGUUUAGUUGCUGCCUCCUAACUCACCAGAAACGACUAUGAUUUGGGAGAAAUAGGGGUUGCUAGGUUUUUUUUUAAAUUAUUGGGGGCUAAAUUGAUGCAUACAAUAAUUUCGCCAUGUCAGACAAUUGUUGAGGCUGCCAGGUGUCAACUACAUGUGCCACAUCAGUUUUUCGGUGACAGAAAUAGACGGAAGGGCCAACUUGAAUCACGUCUUAAAAUUUCAGGGUAUAAUUUGAGUCAAUUGGUAAUUCAAGGGCUAAAUUGAGUUGGAAGUCAAAUUUCAGGGAUCAUUUUGAGUAUUAACUCCAAAAUAUUUAGAUACAUUGACAUAAAACUAUAAAAGUACAUUCUCUUAUUCUGCAAAUUUUCUAAUUUUUCUUAUUUAUCUUACUCUUUCCAUUUGAGGAUAAGAAAAACUAUUAACAGAAUAAUACAGUUUCUGUUUGAUAAGAAAAAAAUUAUCAAAACUGUAUGGUUUGCUUAGCAAGAAGUUGGUGUGUGAAAGCUUAAACCAAUCAAUUCUCAACCAUUGCUUUAUUUAUUUUAAAGCUAAUUAUUUCUACAGAUUAAUGUGUAUUUCAAGUUGUUUAUUUUCACUUUUCUGUUAUAAUUAGAUUAAUGUGA